rnacentral:tRNA from 1 species
GCCGAAGUGGCGGAAUCGGUAGACGCAGCGGACUCAAAAUCCGCCGGUGGCAACACCGUGAGGGUUCGAGUCCCUCCUCCGGCACCA